rnacentral:rRNA from 1 species
AUUUUGAACCGCAUGGUUCAAAAGUGAAAGACGGUCUUGCUGUCACUUAUAGAUGGAUCCGCGCUGCAUUAGCUAGUUGGUAAGGUAACGGCUUACCAAGGCAACGAUGCAUAGCCGACCUGAGAGGGUGAUCGGCCACACUGGAACUGAGACACGGUCCAGACUCCUACGGGAGGCAGCAGUAGGGAAUCUUCCGCAAUGGGCGAAAGCCUGACGGAGCAACGCCGCGUGAGUGAUGAAGGUCUUCGGAUCGUAAAACUCUGUUAUUAGGGAAGAACAUAUGUGUAAGUAACUGUGCACAUCUUGACGGUACCUAAUCAGAAAGCCACGGCUAACUACGUGCCAGCAGCCGCGGUAAUACGUAGGUGGCAAGCGUUAUCCGGAAUUAUUGGGCGUAAAGCGCGCGUAGGCGGUUUUUUAAGUCUGAUGUGAAAGCCCACGGCUCAACCGUGGAGGGUCAUUGGAAACUGGAAAACUUGAGUGCAGAAGAGGAAAGUGGAAUUCCAUGUGUAGCGGUGAAAUGCGCAGAGAUAUGGAGGAACACCAGUGGCGAAGGCGACUUUCUGGUCUGUAACUGACGCUGAUGUGCGAAAGCGUGGGGAUCAAACAGGAUUAGAUACCCUGGUAGUCCACGCCGUAAACGAUGAGUGCUAAGUGUUAGGGGGUUUCCGCCCCUUAGUGCUGCAGCUAACGCAUUAAGCACUCCGCCUGGGGAGUACGACCGCAAGGUUGAAACUCAAAGGAAUUGACGGGGACCCGCACAAGCGGUGGAGCAUGUGGUUUAAUUCGAAGCAACGCGAAGAACCUUACCAAAUCUUGACAUCCUUUGACAACUCUAGAGAUAGAGCUUUCCCCUUCGGGGGACAAAGUGACAGGUGGUGCAUGGUUGUCGUCAGCUCGUGUCGUGAGAUGUUGGGUUAAGUCCCGCAACGAGCGCAACCCUUAAGCUUAGUUGCCAUCAUUAAGUUGGGCACUCUAAGUUGACUGCCGGUGACAAACCGGAGGAAGGUGGGGAUGACGUCAAAUCAUCAUGCCCCUUAUGAUUUGGGCUACACACGUGCUACAAUGGACAAUACAAAGGGCAGCGAAACCGCGAGGUCAAGCAAAUCCCAUAAAGUUGUUCUCAGUUCGGAUUGUAGUCUGCAACUCGACUACAUGAAGCUGGAAUCGCUAGUAAUCGUAGAUCAGCAUGCUACGGUGAAUACGUUCCCGGGUCUUGUACACACCGCCCGUCACACCACGAGAGUUUGUAACACCCGAAGCCGGUGGAGUAACCUUUUAGGAGCUAGCCGUCGAAGGUGGGACAAAUGAUUGGGGUGAAGUCGUAACAAGGUAGCCGUAUCGGAAGGUGCGGCUGGAUCACCUCCUUU